AAAUGAUGAUGAUGAUGAUGAUGAUGAUGAUGAUGAUGAUGACGGUCAUCAUCAUUGUCAUCAUCAUUAUCACCAUACUUA
rnacentral:pre_miRNA from 1 species